CCUGAGUUGUUUUGAGCCACAAUAGGGCCUUGGAUGGUGAAGAGUUUCUGGCUCUCUUAUGGCUUGAAGAAG
rnacentral:miRNA from 1 species